AAAGAGAAACAUACGGUCGCCAAUUUCUUUGCUUGCCCUUCUCACUGAAAGACAAAAGCCCAAGCAUAUGCUAUAAGGGUAAAAACAUACAGACAACAUAUACCUGAGAUCAAACAGGGGAGAGAAUUGGAGUGUACGUUAAACAUAUAGCGCAGAGUGCAGACACAACUAGUUUUCCACGGGAAUACCAAAAACAAACCAUUUCAAAUUCUUGGAAUCUUACCAAAAUAAUAAUUUAUCUGGCAUAUCUUCUCAAUCAGAACACAGAAAAUUCACUAGGAUUACAAACAUACCUAAUGACUUGAAUAU